rnacentral:rRNA from 1 species
ACGAACGCUGGCGGCGUGCUUAACACAUGCAAGUCGAACGGAAAGGCCCUGCUUUUGUGGGGUGCUCGCGUGGCGAACGGGUGAGUAACACGUGAGUAACCUGCCCUUGACUUUGGGAUAACUUCAGGAAACUGGGGCUAAUACCGGAUAGGAGCUCCUGCUGCAUGGUGGGGGUUGGAAAGUUUCGGCGGUUGGGGAUGGACUCGCGGCUUAUCAGCUUGUUGGUGGGGUAGUGGCUUACCAAGGCUUUGACGGGUAGCCGGCCUGAGAGGGUGACCGGCCACAUUGGGACUGAGAUACGGCCCAGACUCCUACGGGAGGCAGCAGUGGGGAAUAUUGCACAAUGGGCGGAAGCCUGAUGCAGCAACGCCGCGUGCGGGAUGACGGCCUUCGGGCUGUAAACCGCUUUCGCCUGUGACGAAGCGUGAGUGACGGUAAUGGGUAAAGAAGCACCGGCUAACUACGUG